UACGGAGGGAGCUAGCGUUGUUCGGAAUUACUGGGCGUAAAGCGCGCGUAGGCGGCUUUGUAAGUUAGAGGUGAAAGCCCGGAGCUCAACUCCGGAACUGCCUUUAAGACUGCAUCGCUUGAAUCCGGGAGAGGUGAGUGGAAUUCCGAGUGUAGAGGUGAAAUUCGUAGAUAUUCGGAAGAACACCAGUGGCGAAGGCGGCUCACUGGACCGGUAUUGACGCUGAGGUGCGAAAGCGUGGGGAGCAAAAGGG
rnacentral:rRNA from 1 species